AUUGACUGUACAAAGGUAGCAUAAUAAUUUGUCUUUUUAUUGAAGGCUUGUAUGAAUGAGUUGAUG
rnacentral:tRNA from 1 species